ensembl:lncRNA
AUUAAACUAGUGUGAAAUAAGAUACAAUGUUAAUGAAAUAUAGUGCAAAAUAUGUUUAUUAUUUAUUGCAUCUCGUUUUAUUGAUUAUACAGCAUUGCAUUUAUUUUAUUUUGGUUAUUUAAAUCUAUUUUAUAGUUGUAUUUAAUAAUUAUUAUUAUUAUUAUUAUUUUUUUUUACCUUGUUUUGAUAAAAUGUUUUCUGUUAUGUUGUCAGAAUUAUUCAAAGAAGGAAGGAAGGCAAAUCAUUUUAUUUAUUUUACCCCUGUACACGCAUGGCUUUCCCCCCCAUCUAUUCUUAUGCUUAUCCUUAUCCUUCCUGGUUUUGGACGAGACGUUCAUAUUUAACUGUAAUGCAAAAUAAAAACGAAUGCAAAAUAAAAGUCCUUGGGAAAAAACAGACACCUGUUUCCCAUUAAACCUUGAUGAUUCUUGAUCAUUGUGGGACGUGUAUGAAUGAACGGAAAAGACGCGAUUGGAUGUCCAUACUUCGUUUUAUCUAUAAAAAUCUUGACUUUGAACAUCCUCCUGUGUGAAGAUCAAUGGAUCAGGUGGAUGUUUGGCACAACCCGACCAAAGAAGCAGGAGAUUUUAAGCAGAGGAAAACUCUGAAGUUGUUUCAGCAGGACACUUUCAAGAUGAUGCAAGUUGAUACAAAAUACCGAAGACAUCAAAAGUAAGUUAAAAUUUGUUUAGUCAAGUUCAGAAAAUGCUGUUUUGCAAGGAAGAUGCUGGACAUGAAUAAAUAUGAUGCAGAUCAACA